UACGUAGGGGGCAAGCGUUGUCCGGAAUCAUUGGGCGUAAAGCGCGCGUAGGCGGCCCGAUAAGUCCGCUGUGAAAGUCCAGGGCUCAACCCUGGAAAGCCGGUGGAUACUGUCGGGCUAGAGUCCGGAAGAGGCGAGUGGAAUUCCUGGUGUAGCGGUGGAAUGCGCAGAUAUCAGGAGGAACACCAAUGGCGAAGGCAGCUCGCUGGGACGGUACUGACGCUGAGGUGCGAAAGCGUGGGGAGCGAACAGG
rnacentral:rRNA from 1 species